CGUCAUUGCUUGUUCAAGAAACGCCUGCAGUUCUGCAAUUUUACUCUUGAUGAAAUAUAUAGAGUUGUCGAUUUCAAUGUUAUCGUGUUUGAGACCAUUGUGAAGUUCCUGCCUUUUAGUAAGAUGGUCAGUCAGGAACAUCUUCUUGUCAGCCUUACUACUACACUCUUCUUGCUGUUUCUUCAUCUGCUGAAAAUCGGAGAAUUGGGAUGGAAGAUCUUUUUGAGUUCCGCAACAGCACGUGCUUUCUCAAUUGAGAAAUGGGGUGAUGCAGCAUAUCUAGGAAGGGCAGCUAUUAAAGAUGACUGGUUUUCCGGGAGAACAACUUCAUUCAAAGGCAUCAUAAGUAGCUUGUGAACUUCCCCUUUGGUUUUGUCAAGUACUUGUGCUGAGCAUUGAGACUUUUUUAGUGCAGGCGACUGAACAUGCAUUCCCGGGGACUGAGCAGAGAACUGGACUGCCUCAUCUUUUUCAGAAUGAUCAUCGCUUGAAUCUCCUCCAACAUCUGUCUUGCUCUUAUUCUUCCACCAAGAUGAUGAAGGUACGAAAUCCUAGCAAGAGAUUCAAACAAAAAGGCCCUUUUACCGGAAGCAAUCAACAUAUAAGAACACAAUAAUAUAAGGGAGACUAAAAACCAAAUAAUAUAACUUCAAAUAGGACACAAUCAUAAGAAAUUUACAAGU
rnacentral:lncRNA from 1 species